GACGAACGCUGGCGGCGUGCUUAACACAUGCAAGUCGAACGGUAAGGCCCUUCGGGGUACACGAGUGGCGAACGGGUGAGUAACACGUGGGUGAUCUGCCCUGCACUUCGGGAUAAGCCUGGGAAACUGGGUCUAAUACCGGAUAGGACCCUGGGAUGCAUGUCCUGGGGUGGAAAGCUAUUGCGGUGUGGGAUGGGCCCGCGGCCUAUCAGCUUGUUGGUGGGGUGAUGGCCUACCAAGGCGACGACGGGUAGCCGGCCUGAGAGGGUGACCGGCCACACUGGGACUGAGAUACGGCCCGGACUCCUACGGGAGGCAGCAGUGGGGAAUAUUGCACAAUGGGCGCAAGCCUGAUGCAGCGACGCCGCGUGAGGGAUGACGGCCUUCGGGUUGUAAACCUCUUUCAGCACCGACGAAGCGCAAGUGACGGUAGGUGCAGAAGAAGGACCGGCCAACUACGUGCCAGCAGCCGCCGUAA
rnacentral:rRNA from 1 species